rnacentral:rRNA from 1 species
UAGUGGCGAACGGGUGAGUAACACGUGGGCAAUCUGCCCUUCACUCUGGGACAAGCCCUGGAAACGGGGUCUAAUACCGGAUAAUACUCCUGCCUGCAUGGGCGGGGGUUGAAAGCUCCGGCGGUGAAGGAUGAGCCCGCGGCCUAUCAGCUUGUUGGUGGGGUAAUGGCCCACCAAGGCGACGACGGGUAGCCGGCCUGAGAGGGCGACCGGCCACACUGGGACUGAGACACGGCCCAGACUCCUACGGGAGGCAGCAGUGGGGAAUAUUGCACAAUGGGCGAAAGCCUGAUGCAGCGACGCCGCGUGAGGGAUGACGGCCUUCGGGUUGUAAACCUCUUUCAGCAGGGAAGAAGCGAAAGUGACGGUACCUGCAGAAGAAGCGCCGGCUAACUACGUGCCAGCAGCCGCGGUAAUACGUAGGGCGCAAGCGUUGUCCGGAAUUAUUGGGCGUAAAGAGCUCGUAGGCGGCUUGUCACGUCGGAUGUGAAAGCCCGAGGCUUAACCUCGGGUCUGCAUUCGAUACGGGCUAGCUAGAGUGUGGUAGGGGAGAUCGGAUUUCCU